rnacentral:rRNA from 1 species
UGCCAGCCGCCGCGGUAAUACAUAGGGGUCAGGCGUUGUCCGGAAUUACUGGGCGCAAAGCGCGCGUAGGUGGUUUAUUAAGUUGGAUGUGAAAUCCCCGGGCUCAACCUGGGAACUGCAUCCAAAACUGAUUCACUAGAGUACGAUAGAGGGAGGUAGAAUUCACAGUGUAGCGGUGGAAUGCGUAGAUAUUGUGAAGAAUACCAAUGGCGAAGGCAGCCUCCUGGAUCUGUACUGACACUGAGGUGCGACAGCGUGGGGAGCAAACAGGAUUAGAUA